UACGUAGGGUGCGAGCGUUAAUCGGAAUUACUGGGCGUAAAGCGUGCGCAGGCGGCUUUGCAAGACAGAUGUGAAAUCCCCGGGCUCAACCUGGGAACUGCAUUUGUGACUGCAAGGCUAGAGUACGGCAGAGGGGGUUGGAAUUCCGCGUGUAGCAGUGAAAUGCGUAGAUAUGCGGAGGAACACCAAUGGCGAAGGCAAUCCCCUGGGCCUGUACUGACGCUCAUGCACGAAAGCGUGGGGAGCAAACAGG
rnacentral:rRNA from 1 species